rnacentral:tRNA from 1 species
UGGGUUGUGGCUCAGAGGUAGAGCGCCCGCCUAGCGUGUGUGAGGCCCUGGGUUCAAUCCUCAGCACCGCAU